rnacentral:rRNA from 1 species
GACGAACGCUGGCGGCGUGCCUAAUACAUGCAAGUCGAACGAGUGGCGGACGGGUGAGUAACACGUGGGAACCUACCCAUCAGAGGGGGAUAACACUUGGAAACAGGUGCUAAUACCGCAUACUGAUGGAUGAACCCAUAUGGGAUUAGCUAGUAGGUGGGGUAAAGGCUCACCUAGGCGACGAUCCAUAGCCGGUCUGGGAGGGUUCGCAGCCACACUGGGACUGAGACACGGCCCAGACUCCUACGGGAUGCAGCAGUGGGGAAUAUUUCACAAUGGGCGCAAGCCUGAUGCAGCCAUGCCGCGUGAAUGAAGAAGGCCUUAGGGUUGUAAAGUACUGUCAGCGGGGAAGCGUUACCCGCAGAAGAAGCAACGGCUAACUCCGUGCCAGCAGCCGCGGUAAUUC